GUUAUGCCUCGCUCUGUGUGCUACAGAUUUCUCUAGAAUAUAUUAAUCAGAACAUUUUAAUGACCAAAACAAUGCAAUUUUUUUGGUGGGCAGUUGCACUUCUUGUCCAGUAUUGCUUCAGUGAUUUUCACAUAAUGCCAAUGAAAUUUAAGAUACUCUGUCUAUGCACUUAGCCUUUUGAUUUCCCUGUCCAUUUAUUUGCUUCCUUGGAGGUUGUGCAUUUAUUAGCGUUAUGUCCUAUGAACCAAUGUUUGAAACAGAGAUGGAGAAACAAUGCAUGAGAUUACAGGGGAGUCUUAACAACUUAAUGACAGACAAACAUGCAACACCCAACAAAAUAAAACCCUAUUCUGUGCUCUCUCACACACUCCUCCUGCAGGCUCCUCAGCCAGAGAGCCCAGCCUUGGUGUGAUACCUACAGCUCUCUUCCUCCUAUGGAAAGAAAAUCUACAUUAAAAUUCUUUCCUGCAUUCUCAGGAGGGUAAUCCUUUUAGGUACUAGCUUGAGGUUCAGAGGGUAAAAGGCUAAAACACUACAAAUAACAAUUGUCUGCUGCAUGAGCUGGGUGCACCAGGAGAGGGCAGAGCUGCACAGGUGUUUGGUUAAACGAGAAGUGGAAAUUAGUCUAUGAACAGGAUUGCUGGCAGUUGUUAUUCAGUGUUCACCUAAAAUCAAUUACCCGGAUAUUCAGAAAUUGUGGAUUUUCUAUAACAAAAGCCAACCUUCCCCAGUGGUUUGCAGAAGGGGUGACAGAACCAGAGCAGGACUUGGAGAAGAGGAGAAUGAAGGGGUGAAGGACAACUGAGGCAAAAAAUACCAAUAUUAUUGCAGAAGUGCUGUUUUAGGAACUAUAAUCAAUAUUGACCUCUGUGUGAACUAAGAGUUUGUUUAAAGCUGUGGCUCAGGAAUGCAAUCUUUGACAUGAAGCACACUUUGCAGAUCACAUGGGGCUGCCUCAGCCCACGAGCUGUCUCUUCAUCAAGCAGGAAGGAAGUUUGAUCUCCCAGAAUCUCUGUCCCCAGUGCUCUCAGUUCAGACCCUGUCAUCUGGGCUGUUGGACCAGCAUUGUGCCAUCUGUAUGAGCAAUUCUGACUGCCUUGCUGUUUUAUUAGAUACCAUCUAAUAAUUUGGAGUUAGAGGAGUGCCAUAAUUCCCACAUAUAAAAUUAUGCUAGCAUUGUGACUUACAUCCUCCUAAUAGAAAUUGACUUUUUAUGAGUUAUGUGACCUCUGUUGUUGGAAUUCACAUGAUAAACUCAUAUAGUUGUACAGUAUUUUUAUACCAACCCCAUUACAGGACAUGUGUGGCUAUGAGCACAAAUCCAGCACUUGUCUGAUAUGAAACAAUUCAGAUAUUUCAUAUAUUGCAGGCACAGAAUGCCCAUUUUCCUGCAGCACCGUGCCUCAGGAUCCAGCUGCUCAUUCCAACAGUGUUAUUAUGUGGGAGACAAAUCUUGAAAACCUGAGUGUGAACUGAUGCAAUUUGUGUUUCUGCAUCUGCGAGCCAAACAUUUUGAAAGGACAUCCUCCCCUGGUUCUCAGCAGGAGAACUUGGCAAC